UACAGAGGUCUCAAGCGUUGUUCGGAUUCAUUGGGCGUAAAGGGUGCGUAGGCGGCGCGGUAAGUCGGGGUGUGAAAUCUCGGAGCCUUAACUCCGAAACUGCAUUCGAUACUGCCGUGCUUGAGGACUGGAGAGGAGACUGGAAUUUGACGGAUGUAGCGGUGAAAUGCGUAGAUAUCGUAAGGAAGACCAGUGGCGAAGGCGGGUCUCUGGACAGUUCCUGGACGCUGAGGCACGGAAGGUCAGGGGAGCAAACGGG
rnacentral:rRNA from 1 species